GCUCUAAAGCAACUAAUGUCUGUACUCGAUUUGAAGAUUCUCCAUCAUAUGUAAAAUGGGGUAAACUGAGAGAUUAUCAGGUCCGAGGAUUGAAUUGGCUCAUCUCUCUGUAUGAAAAUGGCAUCAAUGGUAUCCUUGCAGAUGAAAUGGGUUUGGGAAAGACACUUCAAACAAUUUCUCUCCUUGGGUACAUGAAACACUAUAGAAAUAUUCCUGGUCCUCAUAUGGUUUUGGUUCCCAAGUCUACAUUGCACAACUGGAUGAGUGAAUUCAAGAGAUGGGUGCCAACACUUAGAUCUGUUUGCUUGAUAGGAG